UGUUUCGAGCCCAGAUCCGGCCCGCCCAGGCCCGAGUGCCGCGGCCGCCACCACCGCCGCCUGACCCCGAGCUCCUUCUCCCGUGCGGUUCCUCCCUGGCCUCCCUGCCGCCGCCCAACCUCCACCAGCCGCGCCUCCCACCACAUCCCGCCGGCAGCCCAGAAACGCCGCGCCGCCUGCCGCCCCUACCUAGCAGCACGACCCCGACUCCUUCCACCACCCGUGUUGUUGCGCUCCUCCCGCGUAUGGGCACCAGCGUCAGAUCCAGCCACCGCAGAGCCCUGCGUCGCCAACCACCGCCUACAGCGCUGGAUCCGGUCGUCCCCGACCAUCUACCACCUUCUUCUACCUUGAGCCGUAGGAGAGAUCCCUCCUCUCUUUGUAGUUCGGCGCUGGAAGCCAGGCUCAUGGACCACGCCGCCGUGACCGGAUGGGCCGUUCUCCUCCUCCCUUCUUCCUCACAUGCGAGCAUGCGCAGCUCACAUGUCGCUCACUUCUCUGUUGAGGAGGUGAGCAGGUGCUCCACCGCCUUCCUCCGGCUGUCACCUCCACGACACCCACCCACAUGGUGGACCGCAGUGAAUACCUCGGCCAUCUCACGGUGAAAAUCCCAGCCGGCGGGUGAAAAUCCCAGCCGACGCGGACUUGCAAUUUGUUCCGUGUGUGUGCAAUACUCCAAGUGCAGUGCAUCGGCCACGCUGCUUAGGCAUCACGGGAGUUGCAGUUCGGUGCCCAGUCCCAUAAGGAGCAGUGGCAAAAGUUUGAUUUGUGCAAUUUAAGUGCUGUUUAUCGGUGGGGCAAUCUGGCUGGCGGCCAUGUGUUGUUCUUGCUCCUACCUCGGAUCCAAUUCUCCAUGACAUCCAGGUCUGCGACUGUGGUUUGGGCAGCACAUGCAGCUGACAGAGCGGUGUUGGUUCAGCUCGUUGGCAUGCGGCUCUGUACCGCGGGCGUGCAGCUCACCAGUGUCACGCUUGCAGUUCCUUGGCGUUGGCAACCAAUAGUUGUUAGCGUGCCUCUCUAGGCUCCUACCAUAGACCUGGAUAUGUGGAUAGAUUUCAUUUAUUGAAUGGUUCGUUGAUGCACGAGUAAACUAGCAAAGCGGCAUCCUGCUUAUGUAGCUUUCCGUCCAUUGACUAGUCAGCUAUCCAUGCAACUGGUAAUGACUGUGCAGCAGCCAAACUUAAAUAAAAAUCAUACAUCCGGCCUCUAAUCCCUUGCAAUUGAUUAUAUAUUUUAACAAACACAAGAUGACGAAACAUCAUUUAAUUUUAAGAGAAUCAAUAAAUUAUAGAAACUGAAGUGGCAUAUAUAUGACAGUCUGAUCUGUAGGCCUUUUAUGUUUUUUUCCAAAAGCAGAGAAGGCAAAAGAAUCUCAUCUCCAAAGUGUUCAGUGCAGAGAAGAUGAACCAUGCAAAAACUCAGGGUGGACCAUGGUGGCUUCACUGCUGGCGGAACGGCAGAGGGCUUGGCUGCUACCAGGGUGAUUCGAAGGGAGUGUAUAGGUUUGGAGCCGACCAAGGAAGUCACAGUUUAAGAGCUCGAGGAGGAGGGGCGUGUGGAGGUUCCCGCCGCCAGUGGCUGCACUGCUGGUCUUCGUCGCCUACUCCUGUCAGAUCCAGCAUAACCUAUCCUAUCGGUUCUCCAUCGCUUCACUCUGCUUCAUGUGCAUAUGUGCAGAGAAGAUGACGACCCCGCCCCUGUUCUUCGCCAGCCACACUCUCCCUUAUGCGGUAAGAAAUCUCAAGAAAUGCCCUUUUCGUUUACAUGAACAUCAAACCUACUUUUUUGUUUGAUGUUGGUGCAUGUCCUGCCUGAUAUGUGUGUUUGGCUGCUGCUGUGUGAUUGCUGGCUGUGUUGCUACUUGUGGCAAUAGUUAUUUUGUUUAAGUAUGUGGGACAACAAUGCUUCCGUCUUUUGGUGGAAUCAUUUUCCUUUUAAUUUAAUUACCUGAGAAAAAAUUCUAUAUUUUCUUA